rnacentral:rRNA from 1 species
UACGUAGGGGGCAAGCGUUGUCCGGAAUCAUUGGGCGUACAGCGCGUGUAGGCGGCUUGGUAAGUCCGCUCUGAAAGCCCGGGGCUCAACCCCGGGAGGCGGGUGGAUACUGUCAAGCUCGAGUCCGGAAGAGGCGAGUGGAAUUCCUGGUGUAGCGGUGAAAUGCGCAGAUAUCAGGAAGAACACCCGUGGCGAAGGCGGCUCUCUGAGACGGUACUGACGCUGAGACGCGAAAGCGUGGGGAGCGAACAGG